UACGGAGGGUGCGAGCGUUGUCCGGAAUCAUUGGGCGUAAAGGGUGCGUAGGCGGCUUAUUAAGUCAGGGGUGAAAGACGGUGGCUCAACCAUCGCAGUGCCCUUGAUACUGAUGAGCUUGAAUACACUUGAGGUAGGCGGAAUGUGACAAGUAGCGGUGAAAUGCAUAGAUAUGUCACAGAACACCAAUUGCGAAGGCAGCUUACUAAGGUGCAAUUGACGCUGAGGCACGAAAGCGUGGGGAUCAAACAGG
rnacentral:rRNA from 1 species